rnacentral:rRNA from 1 species
UACAGAGGUCUCAAGCGUUGUUCGGAUUCAUUGGGCGUAAAGGGUGCGCAGGCGGCGUGGAAAGUUGAGUGUGAAAUCCCGGGGCUUAACCCCGGAACUGCACUCAAUACUCCCAUGCUAGAGGAAUGUAGAGGAGAGUGGAAUUCACGGUGUAGCAGUGAAAUGCGUAGAUAUCGUGAGGAAGACCAGUUGCGAAGGCGACUCUCUGGGCAUUUCCUGACGCUCAUGCACGAAGGCCAGGGGAG